AUUCGAUUAGAGUUUGAUCAUGGCUCAGAACGUACGCUGGCGGCACGCCUAAUACAUGCAAGUCGAACGAAGUAGCAAUACUUAGUGGCAGACGGGUGAGUAACAUGUAGGUAUCUUCCCAUUGGUGAGGAAUAACACGAGGAAACUUGUGCUAAUACCUCAUAAGUCUUUACGGAGAAAGCUUUAUGCGCCGAUGGAUGAGCCUGCACUUGAUUAGUUUGUUGGUAGGGUAAUGGCCUACCAAGACAAUGAUCAAUAGCUGAUUUGAGAGGAUGAUCAGCCACAUUGGGACUGAGACACGGCCCAAACUCCUACGGGAGGCAGCAGUAGGGAAUCUUGCACAAUGGGGGAAACCCUGAUGCAGCGAUGCCGCGUGAGUGAAGAAGGCCUUUGGGUUGUAAAGCUCUUUCGUCAGGGAAGAAAAUGACUGUACCCGAAUAAGAAGGUCCGGCUAACUUCGUGCCAGCAGCCGCGGUAAUACGAAGGGACCUAGCGUAGUUCGGAAUUACUGGGCUUAAAGAGUUCGUAGGUGGUUAAAAAAGUUGGUGGUGAAAUCCCAGAGCUUAACUCUGGAACUGCCAUCAAAACUUUUUAGCUAGAGUAUGAUAGAGGAAAGCAGAAUUUCUAGUGUAGAGGUGAAAUUCGUAGAUAUUAGAAAGAAUACCAAUUGCGAAGGCAGCUUUCUGGAUCAUUACUGACACUGAGGAACGAAAGCAUGGGUAGCGAAGAGGAUUAGAUACCCUCGUAGUCCAUGCCGUAAACGAUGUGUGUUAGACGUUGGAAAUUUAUUUUCUGUGUCGCAGCGAAAGCAAUAAACACACCGCCUGGGGAGUACGACCGCAAGGUUAAAACUCAAAUGAAUUGACGGGGACCCGCACAAGUAGUGGAGCAUGUGGUUUAAUUCGAAGAUACGCGCAGAACCUUACCAACACUUGACAUGUUCGUCGCGACUUUAAGAGAUUAAAGUUUUCGGUUCGGCCGGACGAAACACAGGUGCUGCAUGGCUGUCGUCAGCUCGUGUCGUGAGAUGUUGGGUUAAGUCCCGCAACGAGCGCAACCCUCACUUUUAGUUGCCAUCAUUUAGUUGGGCACUCUGAAAGAACUGCCAGUGAUAAGCUGGAGGAAGGUGGGGAUGACGUCAAGUCCUCAUGGCCCUUACGUGUUGGGCUACACACGUGCUACAAUGGCAUUUACAAUAGGAAGCAAGACGGCGACGUUAAGCAAAUCCUAAAAAAAUGCCUCAGUUCGGAUUGUACUCUGCAACUCGAGUACAUGAAGCUGGAAUUACUAGUAAUCGCGGAUCAGCGCGCCGCGGUGAAUACGUUCCCGGGUCUUGUAGA
rnacentral:rRNA from 1 species